rnacentral:ncRNA from 1 species
CUCUGAAAAGUCCUAUAAAUAGGCGCCGAAGGAGAAAGUUGUAUUCAAUAUAGCGAUACUCUCAGGUAAACAAACAGAG